rnacentral:rRNA from 1 species
GACGAACGCUGGCGGCGUGCUUAACACAUGCAAGUCGAACGGAAAGGCCCCUUUUGGGGUACUCGAGUGGCGAACGGGUGAGUAACACGUGAGUAACCUGCCCUUGACUUCGGGAUAACUUCAGGAAACUGGGGCUAAUACCGGAUAGGAAUCCUUGCUGCAUGGUGGGGGUUGGAAAGCUUCGGCGGUUUUGGAUGGACUCGCGGCUUAUCAGCUUGUUGGUGGGGUAGUGGCUUACCAAGGCUUUGACGGGUAGCCGGCCUGAGAGGGCGACCGGCCACAUUGGGACUGAGAUACGGCCCAGACUCCUACGGGAGGCAGCAGUGGGGAAUAUUGCACAAUGGGCGGAAGCCUGAUGCAGCAACGCCGCGUGCGGGAUGACGGCCUUCGGGUUGUAAACCGCUUUCAGCAGGGGCGAAGCUUGUGGUGACGGUACCUGCAGAAGAAGCACCGGCUAACUACGU